GGUGGUGCAUGGUUGUCGUCAGCUCGUGUCGUGAGAUGUUGGGUUAAGUCCCGCAACGAGCGCAACCCUUAUUCUUAGUUGCCAUCAUUUAGUUGGGCACUCUAAGGAGACUGCCGGUGACAAACCGGAGGAAGGUGGGGAUGACGUCAAAUCAUCAUGCCCCUUAUGACCUGGGCUACACACGUGCUACAAUGGACGAUACAAAGAGUCGCAAACUCGCGAGGGUAAGCUAAUCUCAUAAAAUCGUUCUCAGUUCGGAUUGUAGGCUGCAACUCGCCUGCAUGAAGCCGGAAUCGCUAGUAAUCGCGGAUCAGCAUGCCGCGGUGAAUACGUUCCCGGGUCUUGUACACAC
rnacentral:rRNA from 1 species